rnacentral:rRNA from 1 species
GGCGGCAUGCUUUACACAUGCAAGUCGAACGGUAACAGGCCGCAAGGUGCUGACGAGUGGCGAACGGGUGAGUAAUGCAUCGGAACGUGCCCAGUCGUGGGGGAUAACGCAGCGAAAGCUGCGCUAAUACCGCAUACGAUUUAUGGAUGAAAGCGGGGGACCGAAAGGCCUCGCGCGAUUGGAUCGGCCGAUGUCAGAUUAGGUAGUUGGUGGGGUAAAGGCUCACCAAGCCAACGAUCUGUAGCUGGUCUGAGAGGACGACCAGCCACACUGGGACUGAGACACGGCCCAGACUCCUACGGGAGGCAGCAGUGGGGAAUUUUGGACAAUGGGCGCAAGCCUGAUCCAGCAAUGCCG